GACGAACGCUAGCGGCGUGCUUAACACAUGCAAGUCGAGCGGAAAGGCCACUUCGGUGGUACUCGAGCGGCGAACGGGUGAGUAACACGUGAGUAAUCUGCCCCUGGCUUUGGGAUAGCCACCGGAAACGGUGAUUAAUACCGGAUACGACCACUUCUCGCAUGGGAUGGCGGUGGAAAGUUUUUUCGGCCAGGGAUGUGCUCGCGGCCUAUCAGCUUGAUGGUGAGGUAAUGGCUCACCAUGGCUUCGACGGGUAGCCGGCCUGAGAGGGUGACCGGUCACACUGGGACUGAGACACGGCCCAGACUCCUACGGGAGGCAGCAGUGGGGAAUAUUGGACAAUGGGCGGAAGCCUGAUCCAGCAACGCCGCGUGAGGGAUGACGGCCUUCGGGUUGUAAACCUCUUUCAGCAGGGACGAAGCGCAAGUGACGGUACCUGCAGAAGAAGCACCGGCCAACUACGUGCCAGCCGCCGCAGUAA
rnacentral:rRNA from 1 species